UUACUGAUAGGUUAUUUAAACUGGCAAAUUGUGGUUUUGUUGAUUACUAUUUUGUAUCAGUAAA
rnacentral:tRNA from 1 species